UGGGAGUCGCAGAGACAGGAAAAAUAGUGUCUAGUCUAGUCUAGUGAAAAGGGCUGAAAAAAUGAGUUGGAAUAGUGCAAGUGUUUAGUGUGAUAUUUAGAAACGACCGACAAACCGCAUAGAAAUAGAACGUCCGAGGAAAAAAGCAAUGUUGCAGUGGGGGAAGACGAAAAUCCCAAUUUGUGACUGAAGUUUAUAUAAUAUUCAUGCGGAGGGGUAAAUAGUUAUCGUCAUAACUUUGAUAGCUAAUCCCUUUUAAACCCUUUAAGCCUCGAUAGAUCACGACGUCCUUGGGGAGACUCAGGGGCUUGUUCUUUAAGGAAUAGGGGAGAUAUUUGGUUCAUGCUCUUCUCUCCUGAUCCAUGGUACUGCUUUAUGGUCUCCAUGGCCCUCGUUAUGGCUUCCCUGCUUCCGGAUCCACGCGAAGUGCUGCAUAAUUCCUUUUCCGACAAAGCUGUUUUUUCUGCUCCCUCAAGGAUAAAUAUAUUAUCUAAGCUUCAGUCACAAAUUGGGAUUUUCGUCUCCCCCGGCUACAGCAUAUUUCUCUCAACAAACCUCGAGCCCAUCUCCACCUACUAGACGACCACUGGCUGUUACUCAUAGCACCAUCAAGGUCACCAUAAAGUUGGUGAUCAGGAAGCCAAAGGAGAACCUCUCGCCAUUCCUUAACAAUCUCGUCAACAAAGUCAUGAAGGCGCACAAAUUUGAUCCCGCGAAGGCCAAGCUAGGUAUUUUUAAUAAAUCACAUAAAAAUGCCAAUUUUAUUUUGCGGAAAAAUUCUCUAGUGAUUUUUAGAUAGAUAAUUAAAUUCUCUAUUUACUUUUCUAAGCACAAAAAAAAGAAAAAAAAAUUACUAUACGGCUAUUAUCAAAGACCAUACGGAACAUUUAUCAGGAUUUAAUUUUAAUCUCAAUCUGUUAAUAGCUUCAUUCACUCUAACGGUAACGAUAACGGUAUCUUAUUUUGGCUACGGGAUUCGCAGAGGCGACACAUGACAAAAUCGCAUUGUAUUGAAAAGUUGUGAAAAAAAUUGAUUGCUGUGGUGUGGUGAUCAGGAGUGCCAGGGAGCACCCCACAUCCACAUCAGUAACGAACAGUGAAAGUGUAGAGAGCCAUGGAACGUUCGAAGAGAAAAACAGUCUGAGAAGACAAAUCUCACUCAGGAUACCCGAGAGGAUACACUGAGGACUUCCUCCCUUGGACGUUAGCGAAUUAUUAGGCUGGCCACAUGGAGAGGGAACAGCAGAAAUUUGUCGGCAAAGCAGAUAUGCAGCACUUUGCGUGGAUCCGGGAGCGGGGAAGCCAUGAAGAGGGCCAUAGGCACCAUCAGGCAGCACCAUGGAUCAGAAGAGAAGAGUAGGAUCAAAUGUCUGCCAUAUCCCUUGAAGAACAAGCCCCGAAGCUCCUAAUUUUCGUGAGGUGUCGAGACUCCAAGCAGCUUUCUUCUCCAUCGGCUACAACAUCUUCACCAAAAAGCUGUAGCCCAUCUCUACCUACCAGACCACUCAGGUUGCCACCCAGCAGGACUCCAUAAAGCAGUUUGAUCCCAUGAAGGCCAAGCUCAGUGAGUACUCUUUUUUUUAUAAAAACUGCAUAAAAAGGCCAAUUUUAAUCGCUGUUAAUGCUCUUUUAGUGAUUAAUAGAGAGCUAAUAAAAUUCUCUAUUUACUGUUCUAAAUGCUCAGAAAGAUAAUAACUUUUUUAACAGACAAGAAUCGUGCAAAAUCCACUAAUUUUAGUGCCUCUCUGCUUUAAUUAACACAAUUAACACAAUUUUUUAUAUUGUGUGCAUGCCGAAAAUAUUUUUUACAGGAUCAUGUUAAAUAUUAUAUGCAUAUAUAUUUAACAUAUAUAUAACAUUAAAUAUAUAUAAAAAUUUAUA